rnacentral:lncRNA from 1 species
ACGUGGGCUCUUAGGACGUGUUGAGGCUGGGAGUCCUGCCCCGUGUUGACCUAUGUUGAUCAGGUGUCCGCGCAAAGCUGGGCGUCGAUAUGGUGACCCCAGGGGAACCCGGUGGUGGCCAGGUCGCCUAAGGAGGAGCGAACCGGCCCAGGGCGGAAACGCAGCAGGCAAAAGCUCUCGCGCUCUGCAGUAGUCGGAUAGCACCUGUGAAUGGGCGGCGUGGGGUUGCCCAGGGAGGGUGUCAGGACUU